UGUAAGGGUUAUAAGUUGAGAUGAAAUUUGAAAAGCCUAGUAAAAUUCAAGCUAUUAGUUUGCCAAUGAUUUGACGCCUCCUUACAUGGAUUUAAUUGCUCAAGCUCAUAAUGGUUCUGGGAAAACCAAUUGCUUUACUCUUGGAAUGCUAUCUCGCGUAGAUCCGAACCUAAAAGCUCCUCAGCAGUUUAUAUUUGUCCCACGAGAGAAUUGGCUAUUCAGAAUUUGGAAGUUCUUAUGAAGAUGGGGAAGCAUAUUGGGAUAACAUCAGAAUGUGCCAUUCCAAUGGAUAGUUCUAAUUAUAUUCCCAUAAAUAAACGGCCACCUAUUACCGCUCAAGUAGUUAUUGGUACUCCUAGCACUAUUAAGAAGUGGAUGUCGGCAAAGAAAUUGGGUGUGAGUAAUGUGAAGAUUCUUGUGUUUGAUGAAGCUGAUCACAUGCUGGGUGAGCUAACCUUUUUUUGCUGGUUUAUUUGCAUUUUGUUUUGAUGGAAAUUUGAAUUUGCAGUUCCCAUGGUCUUAGUAC